rnacentral:rRNA from 1 species
CCUACGGGAGGCAGCAGUGGGGAAUAUUUCACAAUGGGGGAAACCCUGAUGCAGCAACGCCGCGUGAGCGAAGAAGGCCUUCGGGUCGUAAAGCUCUGUCCUAAGGGAAGAAGCGUGACGGGACCUUAGGGGGAGGCCCCGGCUAACUACGUGCCAGCAGCCGGGGUAAUACUUAGGUGGCUAGCGUUAUCCGGCAUUACUGGGCGUAACGGGUGCGUAGGCGGCCCUUCAAGUCAGAGGUGAAAGGCUACGGCUCAACCGUAGUAAGCCUUUGAAACUGUAGGGCUUGAGUGUAGGAGAGGAGAGUGGAAUUCUCAGUGUAGCGGUGAAAUGCGUAGAUAUUGGGAGGAAAACCAGUUGCGAAGGCGGCUCUCUGGACUGUAACUGACGCUGAGGCACGAAAGCGUGGGGAGCGAACAGGAUUAGAUACCCCAGUAGUC